rnacentral:lncRNA from 1 species
GCGGUUUUACUAAUGGACUUAAUACGCCUUGGGUAUUAAGCCGUCUUAGGCUAAUGCUUAGAUUUGGAUUUGGUUUCGCUCUACUCUAGGUUGACUAGAAUUGGUUUAGAAAUGACGGUUACCCGAGUCGGACAAACAACGGGGUGAAGUCUAAUAAACGACGUUGGAUGACCACAAGCCAACUAUUCGUUUAUCACUUCCAAA